ACAUCCAGCUAGUCAACAAGGCCGCGGGAACACAGUGGGGAAAUGAUGCCCUCCACUAAAUGGUGUGGCCUCCAGAGGCCUCCUGGCUUCACAGUCAGGGGAGGCCAGGAUCUGGCAGAAACGGAAGGAACUGCAUGGCCUUCCAAGGCCUCAAGAGAACAAACUAGGGGAAGUCACAGCCCUGGCUCCAGCUAGACUGUUUGUAGUACAGACCCUGGCCACCUACACCUCCCCCUCCAGAGAACAUAGCAAUUCCCAGGCUUCCACAGGGUACCCGGGUGCCCAUGUUCUAGGCUUCCAUCUCCACACAAUCCAAGUUCUCUGUUGCCAUCUGAGACCCUCUCGGGUCAAUCCACAGCUCCUUUGCCUCUACUCCCAAGCUCCGGAUGGCCAUGUGGUCUAGACACUGGCAGCAGCUCUGGAUGGCCAUCUGGUCUAGACACUGGCAGCAGCUCCGGAUGGCCAUCUGGUCUAGACACUGGCAGCAGCCUGCUCUCCCAGAAGUUCAGGUGUGGAAGGGGCUGAGAAGAGGUGGCCAGCCAGACUCUAGCCCCAUCUCCUUGACCUUGCCCUCCCUUGCUACCUCUAUUGACUUCCUAGUCUAUGAGGAGUCCUAAUCCCUCUGCAUCCAUAGCCGGCCAGGUCUUGCCUCCCUCAGAGCCCCUUGGACACCACUUGUCCCUAUCCUGCUUACUGGCCUAAGCCAUCAUCACAUACAUACAUCUCAUUCCCUGGCUCUUCUCCAAAGGAAACCUGUCUUCACUUCCCCCACUGACCUAGAGUCUAUGUGUUCUCGGAAGGUGGCCAGACUAAUCACUUGCCACACCCCACAUCUCUCCAUCCUGCCUCCUGGCUUCAGGCUCGUUCCCUGUGGGCCCCGGAGGUUUCCGGUAAAAGGCAAGGCACCUUUGACUCAGACAGAGAAGGCUAGGGCAGCCGAGUCUAGCCCAAAAGAACCUAAAAUUCCAGCUGGCCUCACCCCCAGCGUUCUGGGAACAGGAGCACAGGGCCUGGAGCAGAACCAGGAGCGCCUGGACGCGCACUUUGUGUCCUUCACACAUUCAAGUUUCCGGGCAGAGACUGGAGACCCUCAGGACAUCAGCUGGGGAGCAGUCUGAAGACAGACUUGAGUAUCAGACAGCACUGGAAAGGCUGAGAUUUGGCUCUGCUCUGCUCAUGGGAAUCUUCCCCACUUUCCCUGACCUCGGGGUACCUGGAGGUCAUGCAUUCUUUAAGCAAGCUGGACCCUAAGCUGCAUCCUGAGCCUCUGCUCUCCAGCUCAAUGGGGGGCGCCCAGGAAAUGCAGGUCCACCCAGGCUGGUGUGACUACCCAAAGGCUGCCUGCCUGAGUGGAAAAGUGCCAACCCUAGAACAAGAGAAUGAAACACAUCUCCCACCAGGGAGGGAAUUUAGAUUCAAGGUGGAAGCUCAGCAGAUGAGGCUCAGCAUGGGGCAGCUAGAGACCACCAGAGACAGAGCAGAGCAGCUGUUGGGGAUUGAGGCAGCUCCUGCCCCUGCUGUGGGAACCUUGGGACAGCACGGAAGGUUCAGCCAGUGGCCUCAAUACUAUGCAGGAGGCCCCUAAGAUAGAAAAAGUGCUGGUGGCAGGAGCCGCAGGGUGGGUUCUGAGAUGCUUGGACUUGCUCCUAGAGAAGGCUGGGUUGAUGUUUCAGUAGACAGCAGGUAUCUGGUGGAGAAGGCCCCUCCCUCCAUCUGACCACUUGCAGGCCUCUUCUACUUCUGUUCUGUAUGUCCUCCAGUGACCCCAAAGCUCCGAAGGCCACCUGCCCCAGAAUACUCACUCUAUGCCCAAACAGCACUGGGGCCAACUACUCUGGGCGAGGAAGGAGACUCUGCUCUGAGCACCAGCUUUGGGGGUCACCUCCCUUCCCUGCAGUCAGCGGCAUAGGACACAGCCACUUUAGAAUUGCCUCACUUCUCUCCUGUCCCUUAGCAUGACAGUACAAGCCUCCAACUGCUCCCAAGCAUAAGCCAACCAGAUCCCAUGGGAAAAGUUAACUGUCCGGCAGGGGUUACUAAGGCCCUGAGAAGAUAGAGAGGGACCGCUCCUGGAAAGAGAAUAGGAAAGAUUCCCAGCCCGAUCUUGGCCCUAGCAUCUCGCCUCGUCUUCCCAGAGACAACUUUCUGAGCUAAGAGACUUUUUUUCCUAGACGAUAUGGCCCAAGGCCACAAAGCCCCUCCUUGCUCUCAAUUCUACCAUCACACAGCAAAUGUAGCUGGGUCUGCUGGGCUAUGGGUCUCCAAGAUACAAGGACCAGGCCAUCCUGUCCUAAGACCCAGAGGGUGAGGGCUCACAACACAGUUGAUCCAGAAGAGACCAUGCAACUCUGAGGCUGUGGCUACCAGGAAAAGUACAGACAGGGACUCAGUGAAAGCCGCUCAGUGGAGGGGAGCAUUACGGGAAGCCACGGGGUGGGGUUAGGGGUGGGGGCAGAGUGUCUAGGUGGGGCUGAAGGCAGGAUGCACUGCAAUGUCAAGGAGACCACUCGGCUCCAGAGCAGCAAGGCCAGGAGGGGUUGUUCAAGGAGUGGGCAGAGAAGCCAGCAACAUCGUGCAGGAUGGUGAGGAGGGGAGAGAUGGGGCUCCAAUGAGCUUUGAGUAGAGCCUUCUACCAACCACAUGUGAAGAAAGUGACAGAAAGCACACCCCUCACAUCAAGCCUCAGCGCUUCCAGGCUCCCCACUGUCCCUCACUGAAGCCAAUCAACUGCAAAGUCCCUACAAGGUCAUUGAGUUUGAUGCCCAAACCCACAAUCUAUCUGAAAGGGUUCCAGGGAGCUAUGAAUUGGUUUGUCCAUCAGACAGGAAAAUGGGUCACAACCUAGCUGGUUGAGACUACAUGGUUUAGGAGGAGUCCGCUGAAGUGCACAGGAAGAGACAUGAAUACUAGCCUUCCACCUUGGGGAAGACCCAGGACCUUUCUGUUCUAGGCUGAUGAUGAAACCAUGGGUCCAUCAAACAGUGACAUACUAAAAUAUCUGUGGACACCUGGGCGAAGUCCCCCUGUUUGCAGUCCCAUCCCUCAGCCUGUCGGGGAUGGAUGGGUCUGGCAGCAUGAGGCUUUGGUGUGCUACAGCUCCGGCUGCAAGAAGCUGCUUCAUGAGCAGGACAGAAAGGGGAGCUACUGCCACAGAGGUCUCCAUAUCAGAGGGUGUAAGAAAAUGAAAGGACACAAACAUCACACCAACAUGGAUGGAGGUCGCACGGCGUCACUCUAUGGCACUCAUCUCUAAGAGCACCCUUCAGAACACAGGGAAGGUUUCCUGGAAACCAAAAGAAUGAAUGAAAACCCAAAGCAUGUGUGCAUAUGUGUGUGAACCUUUGUAGGCUGAAGGACAAGAUGGCUUGAGUAACAGUCUGGUACUCGGGCCCCUCCAACUGUAGUGACAUUGGUCACGCAGUGAUUUAGAAACGAUGGGACCAGAAAAUAAAACUUUAGGUCACAUUAACUGCCA